AACGAACGCUGGCGGCAUGCCUAACACAUGCAAGUCGAACGAGACCUUCGGGUCUAGUGGCGCACGGGUGCGUAACGCGUGGGAACCUGCCCUUAGGUUCGGAAUAACUCCCCGAAAGGGGUGCUAAUACCGGAUAAUGUCUUCGGACCAAAGAUUUAUCGCCUUUGGAUGGGCCCGCGUUGGAUUAGCUAGUUGGUAGGGUAAAAGCCUACCAAGGCGACGAUCCAUAGCUGGUCUGAGAGGAUGAUCAGCCACACUGGGACUGAGACACGGCCCAGACUCCUACGGGAGGCAGCAGUGGGGAAUAUUGGACAAUGGGCGAAGGCCUGAUCCAGCAAUGCCGCGUGAGUGAUGAAGGCCUUAGGGUUGUAAAGCUCUUUUACCCGGGAUGAUAAUGACAGUACCGGGAGAAUAAGCGCCGGCUAACUACGUG
rnacentral:rRNA from 1 species